ACCCGCCAUGACAGUAGAGUUUCUUGAGGUGCUGCCUUGUUACCGUGGAUUCCUUUCUUAGUUUCAUUAUUUUUCCACAUUUCAUAACAAGAAAGAAUCCUCUAUUCACACGCCUUGCGUUGUAGCGAUGCGCGCUGAAGAUUUCAAACUUUGAUGUAGUGCGACAGGAAUUGUGAUAGUGUCCAACGGAUCAACCGAACGCCAAACUUGGAUGACGCACUUGAAAUAACGCUCAGAAUAAAAUUGCUAGCACAGCUGCUUGGGUUGAAAAACAACAUAAAGAACCGAACACUCCUAAACACACUCCUCAUAAGUGAUCUUUCGCUGAUGUUUUUCAGUUCCUGUUAGAACCCCGUCGCUUCAGUUUCUUCAAGUGUGAAGUACAGAUUAGUUCUAAAUUGAAAAGAAUUACUGCCUAUUAGAAGCUGCCAUUUUCACACCCUCAAAAGUUUCCGCAAGGUUCCCAGAGCUGAAGAAGUAGACGCACUGGCGACUGAGGUGCGAAAAAGCCAGAUCAUCAAUACACAGCCGGGAUGAAGCAAGAAACCACUUGUUUUCAUUUACAAAACAGCACUUUUGUCUGACGUGACUGUCAAGCCUGCUGAGCUAGCUGUCGGGUUUUUACGUUUCUAGUAAAAAUGUAAGAACUUUUUCAUAUGUAAAACAUGCUAAAUACAGAGAACUUUCAGAGAGUGGGAAGCAAAGAGUUUUUCGGAUAUUCUAAGCUAACAGUACAGGAACAACAGUGUUCAGUGUUUUCAUCCUUUGAUAAUUGAAUGUGCAUUAAGUCAAAUCGCUUGUUGAUCCUCGAGGCCAUUCUUUGGUUUUGACGCUUACUAUUUGCUACUUAAUAAGAGAAUUCGGAGGAAACAAACUGAACGCAUGAUGACUAUGGUACAAAAAUCACAAAUAAGAACACCAAGAAAACAACUGAGUAGAACGUAGAACGAGCCAGGAGAGGCCAGCAUGGCUUCGAUACCGCUUUAGGACCACGAUUGAGGGUCAACAUCGUCUUUGAAUAUUAAACGAAUAAAUGCAUAUGUCAAGAAA